AAUGAUUGACGUUCCUGACAGAGAAGCACCGGCUAUUCCGUGCCAGCAGCCGCGGUAAUACGGAGGUGCAAGCGUUAAUCGGAAUUACUGGCGUAAAGCGCACGCAGGCGGUUGAUUAAGUUAGAUGUGAAUCCCCGGGCUUAACCUGGGAAUGGCAUCUAAGACUGGUCAGCUAGAGUCUUGUAGAGGGGGGUAGAAUUCCAUGUGUAGCGGUGAAAUGCGUAGAGAUGUGGAGGAAUACCGGUGGCGAAGGCGGCCCCCUGGACAAA
rnacentral:rRNA from 1 species